UGAGGAAUAUUGGUCAAUGGGCGGGAGCCUGAACCAGCCAAGCCGCGUGAGGGAGGAAGGCCCUAUGGGUCGUAAACCUCUCUUGUCAGGGAACAAAAGCGAGUAUGUAUACUAGUCUGAGUGUACCUGAAGAAAAAGCAUCGGCUAACUCCGUGCCAGCAGCCGCGGUAAUACGGAGGAUGCGAGCGUUAUCCGGAUUUAUUGGGUUUAAAGGGUGCGUAGGCGGCGGUGCAAGUCAGCGGUAAAAGCCCGGGGGCUCAACCCCGGCGAGCCGUUGAAACUGCAGUGCUAGAGAAGGCGAGAGGUACGCGGAAUGCGCAGUGUAGCGGUGAAAUGCUUAGAUAUUGCGCAGAACUCCGAUUGCGAAGGCAGCGUACUGGCGCCUGACUGACGCUGAGGCACGAAAGCGUGGGGAUCGAACAGGAUUAGAUACC
rnacentral:rRNA from 1 species